rnacentral:tRNA from 1 species
GCUGGUGUAGCUCAGUUGGUAGAGCAGCGCAUUCGUAAUGCGCAGGUCAGCGGUUCGACUCCGCUCACCAGCU